CAAAAGGUAGUUUAAUAAAGAUUCCGGUUUUGGGGGCCGGUGAUGAAGGUUUGAGUCUUUCUCUUUUGA
rnacentral:tRNA from 1 species